rnacentral:rRNA from 1 species
CAGCAGCCGCGGUAAUACGUAGGUGGCAAGCGUUGUCCGGAAUUAUUGGGCGUAAAGGGCUCGCAGGCGGUUUCUUAAGUCUGAUGUGAAAGCCCCCGGCUCAACCGGGGAGGGUCAUUGGAAACUGGGAAACUUGAGUGCAGAAGAGGAGAGUGGAAUUCCACGUGUAGCGGUGAAAUGCGUAGAGAUGUGGAGGAACACCAGUGGCGAAGGCGACUCUCUGGUCUGUAAUUGACGCUGAGGAGCGAAAGCGUGGGGAGCGAACAGGAUUAGAUACCCGUGUAGUCCCUGUCUCUUAUAC